rnacentral:rRNA from 1 species
UACGGAGGAUGCAAGCGUUAUCCGGAAUGAUUGGGCGUAAAGCGUCUGCAGGUGGCUGUGUAAGUCUGCUGUGAAAGCGCGAAGCUCAACUUCGUAAAGGCAGUGGAAACCACACGGCUAGAGUGCGUUCGGGGCAGAGGGAAUUCCUGGUGUAGCGGUGAAAUGCGUAGAGAUCAGGAAGAACACCGGUGGCGAAGGCGCUCUGCUAGGCCGCAACUGACACUGAGGGACGAAAGCUAGGGGAGCGAAUGGG